CAGCCACCUGAGGCUGCGCCCGGCCCGCCCACGACGCCCGCCCACGACGCCCGACCCCCGCCCUCCUGGCGCGGAGGGAGGCCGCAGCGGCGGCCCUCGGGGAAGAGCGGAGCUCGGGCUCGGAGCGGGGGCGAGGCCCGGUUCCGGGCGCCCUCGCCGCGGAUCCCCAGGGGCGCGCGGCCGCCCAGGCCUCGGACCGGCCCGCUGUGCGAGCUGGCGCCCCGGCCUGGCUGCGACCUGAACUACCCGAGCCGGCGGGAACUGCAGACGAAAACAAGCCCUCGCCGCGCCAGCAGCAGCGGACGGGAGACCACAGCCUGUGGACAGCAGAGGCAGAGCCCAGAUGUCCUCCAACCUCAUGAAAAAUCAGAAGUGGGCAGAGGAAAUUUGAUUAAUCUCCAAGGAGUACUUGGUCCUGCUUCACAAUGGGAGAUGGUUGAACAGGUCAGAACAGAGGUGCAUUGGAGACAACUUACACAGGCUUACAAAAAUCAUUGGUAAACAUCUCUGCAUUCAGUGGCAUCACACUGGAUAGGUUGAAAUCAGCCAUUCCAGAAGGUAUUUAUUGCAAGGUCAUUGCCAAUGACUAUGAAAUAAGGUUAACUGGGCCAGGAUGUAGCUCAGUGACAUAGGACCUACCUGGCAAGUGUAAAGACCUGAGUUCAAUUCCUGGUAUUAAAAAAAAAGAAUUGCUCUUAAUAUAAGGCUAUAUUGAAAAGCCAGUCAUUAACAUUUAUCAUCAUCCUACUGGGUCACAUUAACUGGGAUUCUAUAUCUCAAAAACAUAUUAAAAGAAAAUUAUAGACCAAAAUCCCUCAUAAACAAAAAUCUAAAUAUCUUCAUCAGAAUAUCAAGUAACUCAACUCAGCAAAACAAGUGGGAUAUAGAGUUAUGAAUGAAAUGACAAAAACUCAUAAUUAGCUAAAUGUUCUAAAGUUAAUUCAUCUAUUUUACCAGAUAAUCAGAAUAAAGAAAAAGAAUAUAUGGCUUUAUAAGCAGACAUAUUAAAGAAUUUAUUUAAAUUUAGGUUGAUAAAAAUCUCAACAAUUUAGGACCAGAAGUACAUUUUCUCAAUAUGACCAUGUAUCAAAACUAUGAAAAAUACACAGGAAACAUGUUACAUAUGGUUGAAAUAUCAAAAAAUAAAGAAAAUGUGAAACAAAGCCACGAUGUUCACUGAUAAUCCUCUUCAUUGCGGCCUCCUAUGUUUCCAGUACCUCUCAGUAGCAACUUUCUGGAGAACAACUCUGAUACAUGCAAGUUGUUGGAGGACUCCACAUCUAAGCUACAGAAUCAAUGAAUGAGUUCAGGGAAGAAGAGUCAAUAAUAUUAAAUGCCUUAGAUAAAUCAGGUAAGGUAAGUUUUAAAAGAAUUUCUUGGUGAAAGUUAAGGAAUGGUGGAAAUACAAAAGGAUCAGAGUGGAUUGGAUGGUGAACAGAGGGUUAGGAAGUGAAGAAAGGAAGGAAGGAAAUUCAAGAAGCUUCAAAUGAAAGAAAAGCAACAAGAAUAUUACACACAGAGAUAGAUUUGUGACUAAGGGGUAAGUACUGAGCAUUAUUUAAGUCAUUCAUCUACACUUUGCACAGUGUAAAAUUAGGAGUGGAGUUCACAGCUGUUUCUGAAAGGUAGAAUGUUCACUUGUUCCUGGUCAGACCAAAGAAUGGGCUCUGCAUGUGGCUCCCCCAGUACGCAGCACUCAACCAGCAGCAUCUUCAGUCAUGCAUGUGGGGCUUCGUCUACCUCUUAAUGAAGGGGAGAAGGUGCUGGAUUCCUUCUCCAUGCAGUAUGUGUCUCCUGUCUGUCUGCUCUUCCUUUUGGUGAUCCACUUUUGAUCCUUCGAAUUUUGGGUGACAUUUUUUUCUAGAGUCAUUACCUUUAAAGUAGGAGGAUUUUUUAUUCUUUUUUCAUUUCAAGGAAAAAAUUGACUGCAAAUUGAAAUAUCUCCUACCAGGACAGAAUUUAUUCAGAAAUAAAUUCAAUAAUAAUGCUUCUAUUACAAAAGAUGCUUUAUCCAGAGAAUUUUAUAAAAAGGAACGUUAGCUUUGGGUACAAACAUUCAGCUAUUUAUUAUAUUUCACUGAGUCUGUCUUAAAAGUAUAGUUGAUAUAAGGGUGUCCUGUUCAUUUGAUACUACCUUUGAAACCAACCACAUCUCAGAAUUAUCAUAAAUAAUUCAAUCAACUGAAAAGUUACAAAUUAAAAACUAUUUCAUAAGUAAAAUAAAUCAAGAAAAGUCAUCUCUGAAAUAAUGUGCUAGAUUGUUAAAAAAAUACAUAGUAUUUUACAGUUCCUCCCAUUAAGGUGACAUCUCUUUCUGUAUUCCAAGAAUGCAGGGUUAGCCAGGUGGUUUUUUUUGGCCAGUAGAACAUUAACAAGUAUAAUAUAAAAUAGGCUUGAAAAAAUUUGUUCAUAAGAAUAUGCUCCUUUUCUGCCUUUUGGAACCUGUCCCUCGUAGAAAGAAAUUAGGCUAGCUAUAAAUGAGUUCAUUCAGAAAAAUCUAACUUUAAAAAUUGUCAUGGCUUUUCAGUUGAGUAAAUGAAAUCUGAUACACAGAAACCCACAUAAGUCUAGUUUUUGAGAGUUGUACAAACAGACUUCAAGAGAUUGAGAAAGUUCAAAACAAAAAAAGAUAACCGUUACCCAUUUUUUAGUGACAAAAAGAAAACUGAGAAAUGUCUCCAGAUAAAUAUUUUGCUUAGGAAAGGACAAGUAUCUCAACAACAAAACCAAAAUUUACGAGGGAAGAGUAAAGCAAUAGAAAAGAGAGCCCUGUCCUGCAAGUUAAGCUUUACUCCUAGUGUAGGGGGAACUGGAAGCAUGUGAACUAUUCUAGCCUUACUGUGUACCAGUGACUACUGUAUAGAUCCCGUUUGUUGGUUGUAGUUGUUUUGAUCUUAACCAACUGAUCAAUGUUCAGUGGCAUUUUUUUAGUCAAGUCUCUGAAUCUAUGUUUGCUCAUUUGCAUUCAUAAAAGACUAACCCUAUGAUGCUUGUCUUGACCCUGUUAGCAGGCUUGAAACAGAUUUUUGGCAAUACUGUGAGAGUUGAUAAUAUUUUAUAUAUUAGGAAAAUGUAAAUAAUUGUUGCGUUAGCCUAGAAAAUGGCAAAUUUGAGGGGCAUAUUUGGAAGCAACUCCCAUAAAGGUGUUGAAUCUAUUUUUCUACUCCUUGAAUCUAGACUAAGAAAUGGAACUUGCUUUAGCUAAAAUGAGUUUGAACAUUUGAACUAACAUAAUUAUUGUAUGUAAAAGAUAGGUUAUAGGAAGUAGAAGGUGGAACUUUCUCAAGCUGGAAGAAAUCAAGAAAUGGAGGGAGAGGAUAGUGAGAGGAGGAAAUGGGAAUGACAAAAGGAUUAGGGUAUGUUAUGGGCAUGUGCCAACUCCACGCAAGGAUUGUAAACAUUGUGUGCUAUGAACAUGUUGUAGCAAAACGUUAAAAAGAGCUUUGACUGACCUUGUGGAUCAUGAAAAAUGUGUGAACUGUUGCUUCUGUUGCCCCCGCUAGAAUCCAGAUUAAGUUACUAAAACCUUCUGAGAAGAGUCAACCCUCAAUCAAUCUUUUACUUGACUAUAUAUUGGUAAAUGAGUCAGGUCCUGGUGAGAAUCACACAGCAUUCUCCUGAGCUAAAUACAGUACUUAUUUUAAGUUACUAACUUUUAGAAUGGGUUACUGUACAGAAAAAUUCCUAUGAAUAAUUUUACCAAAAUAAACACAUAUUUUCAGGGAAGUUAUUUAAUUUUGAUGAGAGUUGCCAACAUAUAAUUCAAGUAAUCUCUGGCAUAGUCUUUCAGGAUGAUUCUUAUGGCCCAAUUUCAAAAUAAAUGUAGUCCUAAAAUAAAAAAUGACAAAUAAAUGCAAUUAGGAUGGUUGAAUAGUAGAAACAGCUACAGGUAUUAGACAUGUGAAUGUUUCUUAGAUCUUAGGCUAUAAUAGCAUGAAUGUAACAUAUUAAAAAACAAAAUUCUCAGGAUCAGAAUUCCCAGGCACCAAAAUCUAAGAGCAUAAGAAUGAUUGACUACUACUAAAAACAUCAAAGUAACAAAUUUGAGUAUUAAGGCCCAUAGAGAUCAGCAACAAAUUCUAGCUCAUUUAUUUAUAAAUAUAUUUUUAAAAUUUGUAUAGUAGAAAAUUGGAAAAGAGAAGGGAAAAUUUUAUAGUCAAACCUUAAAAAUCUACCAUUAAUAAUUUUGUUAAAUUUUUUUCUAGGAAGACACAACUGAUUUAUACUAUAGUUAAAUUUUACCGUUGUACUGCAUAAAAUAUCUUGAGUGUUCAGGUCAUUACAAUUCUUCAAAAAUUCAUUUUGAGCCCUUUUUAGUUUAGUUUAACAUUUUAUAUAUAUCACAUAUGCUUUUAAAAUUUAGGUUACUUUUUUUCCUUAUUUUUAAAGAAUUUGAUAUAUAAAUCUUGUAUUGUUUACUAUAAUUCUUAUGCAUAAUUAUUUGUAUCUAAAUAAAUGGAAACAUUAAUUUUUUACCAUUUCAAUUUAUUCCCUAGAAGUUUUACCUGUAGUACAUGAACACUUGAUUAUAUCAUCCUUCAUCAACAUUUAAACUUUAUCCUUAAAAGAAUAACUUUAUGAUAAAUGAAGGAGAAUAUUUUAUCUCUUUUUGUGUGCUUUCAAAAUAUCUUCUUGAAUCCAGUGGUUACUUGCAUUCCCUCUUUGACAAGUUGUUUGAAUUUUUUUCGAACUCUUUGUUCAUUUCUAUUGGGAACUUGAUAUUUUUCUUGUCAUUUAGUGCAAUUUUUGUUAACAUGAAACUAUUAUUUCUUUUUUUUUAAGGUAAUGAAAUAAAAGAACAAGACAGAACACAGCCAAUUGAGACAGUGCAGUGAAAUUGGUACAGAACAUCACAGCAGGUUAUUGGGAUAACAAUAAUAAGUGCCAUAGUAUAUCUCGUUAUCUUCACAGUAGUUGUUCUUUCAAUUAGGUAUAGCAAAAUCAAACCAAACACAAUAUUAUAGAGCUUAUCAAAACAGAAUAUUGAAUAGAGCAAUACAAUUAAUCAGAACAAAGCAAAACAGUAAUAACUAUUUGCCUCAAAGAGAUGGUAGAAGGAAAUCCCCCUAUUUGCUAUAUUGCAUGUGGUCAACCUCCUAAGAGAUGCUCAGACCUCCGGGAUGGUUAAUGGCUACUUACCAGGGAAGUGGGUUGGUUGCUUGGUUUCCCAGCACCCCAAGUUCCAACAUGGCAUGGAUCUCGGGAGACUCUGGGUGGUUCUUGAGAAUAUUAUUCCUUGGUCAUAUUUUGUGCCAUAUAUUUUCCUUACUUCAGUUUUUGCUUUUGAUAAUAUUUUGAUAAUGACUUGUUUUGAAGCAUAUUGGAUUUAGUGGUCUGUUAUUGUGUGAUUUCCUAACUUAGAUCUUUUCAAGCCAAAGGCUAACUGUGGUAUUUGUUCUUUUAUCCUGGUUUUCUCAGUGGACGCAAUAUCUCCUUCAUUAUACUGCUUUUGGAUUUGUUUUGUCCUUUUGUUAAAUUUUCAGAUUUAAUUAACAUUAGCUUUUUAAUUUUCUCUUUUUACUCAAUUUACUUCCUGCUAUCCAUUUUCUUUAAAUCUUUGAGUGUAUACCAUGACUUUUGUAAAAUAUUAUUAUAUAUUUGAUGUAUGUAAAUUUUUUCAUUACAUCUCUUUAAUUUUUGAAUUAUUUAUAUUUAUUUACAUUAAAUAAAGAUAUUUAAAAUGUAAUCAUAUUUAUUUUUAGUAACUUCUACUCUCAUUUUCUCAGGCAAUGAAGGUCUGCAUGAUACUAACUACCUAAAAUUUAUUGAGAUGUACUUCUUGGUCUUCUAUGAGAUAAAUUAUUGCCCUCAAAUGAUGGUUGUUUGAGAACAAUACAUACUAAUCACUUUACAUGUUAAUCACUUGGGGAGAAAUUCUAUAAAUGGCCAUUAAAUCAGUAUUGUUAUUUUUUUUGUUCAAGUUUUAAGUAACUUAAUUAAUAUUGUAUCUCGUAGCUAGUAAAAAUUUAGACCUGUUGAUAAAUUUCUCAUUAUGAGGAUGGCUUUAUUAAUCUUUAACUUUUUAAUGCAUCUCUGUUUUGAGGUUGGGUUACUAGGUUCAUAUUAAAAAUAAAGUCUAAGAUUAGUCUAAGUCUAAAGUCCAAGUCUAAGAUACAAACAAUAAAAUCUAAGAUUCUUAUUGUGUCCUGUUUGAGUAAAGAUUUUAUCAUCAUGUAGUUAAUCUAUCUUUGUCUUAAUAUUUUCUGGUCUUAAAGUCUAAUUAUUCUGAUUUCAGCUCUUUUGUCAUUCUUGCCUGUUAAUGUUUUAUCCAUCCUUUUUUUUUCAAAGUUUAAUUAUUUUAGGUUCAUCCCUUAUAAAGAUCCAAGAUCCCUUAAAAAUUCUCUAAAACUGUUUCUAUCUUAUUUUUUAAAUCUAAUCAGUGUUAUUUUAUGUUGGAAUCAAAUAAGAUUUUCAUUGCUUUUCUUUUUCAUUAGUACAUGAAGAACAUGAUGACUGUUUAUCAUAGGAAAUAUGUGCAUGUACAUAACAUGUCUUUGAUCUUUUUUUUAUUCCCUUCCUGCCUAUCCCUCCCUGAUCUUCUAUCUCUUGUUCUUCUUCCCAUUUAAAAAAUCUCCCUACUUCUUAUUAUCCAUCUUUUUUUUUUAUUUUUAAGUUUAUGGUAUAAGAGAAACAAGGCAAUAUUUAAACCUGUGUUUUAUUUGAUUUAUUUCACUUAACAUUAUAGUAUCCAGGUGCAUCAAGUAAUCCUUCUUUAUGGCGCAAUAAUUCUCAACUGUGUCUAACUAUCACAGUGUCUUUAUCUAGUGAUCUGUUGGUGGGCACAGAAGCUGUUUCUUACAAAUUGUGCUAAGCUCUAUCUUACAUGAUGAGUUUGUACAUUUAUAUUUGCUGCUAAUUACUGUAAACUCUUGUAUAGAAUAUAUUUAAUUGACAUCUUGAUAACUUGCGGUGUGAGGACAUAAUGUUGACCGUCUCUACAGGACACAAGAGUUAAGAUGCCAUUACUGAAGCAAAUAUUUGGCUCUUACCAGGUGUCAGAACAACUGAAUCUCUAGAACUAUGAGAAAUAAAUUUAUAUUGUUUAAAACUUACUAGGUUUCAAGUAUUUUCUCAUAGCAGUAUAGUGGACUAAGACUCUAAGUUUCCAAAUUAACAAUACAUUUUCAUUUAAAUCAAAUGCUACACAAUUUUAUAAUUACAAUUUAAAAUGAUAACCAAAACUGGUAAUUUAUUUAUUGAAUAAAAUUUUUUCCAUAUUGUUAGUGGGUUAAUGUUUUUUUUUUUUUUCCAUUAAGAAAAAGGUUUAAACUUCAGUGGUCAUGGUUCCUAGGGCAGUCUAGAUUUUGCUUUCUUUACAGUGUGAACACUGAAAAUAUGAUAUAGUUUGGAGACCAAGGAUGAGAGCAUAAAGGAACAAAUUUCAGGGACAAUUAACUGCAAAUUGUGAAGCAUUAUUAGUAAAGUGCAACGAUAGGAUCAGAAAAUACAAUUUUCAGGUAAGUAGAAUAGAAGUCAACUCACAAUGAGGAAACUUGCUCCAAGAAUCAAUGCUUUACUUUUAACAUCAAGGUCCACUGGAAACUGGAUUCUAAAUUUAUUAGCAUCUCUUUGUUGUUCCCUCACAAAUCUGGUGCACUGCUUUGAAAUAUUUCCAAUAUCAAUUUCUUCUUCCAGAGAUGAUAACUAAAAGGAAAAAAUAUAUGUAUAAUAUUAGCUGAAAAUAUCUGAAAUAAAAAGCAAGGGUAUUCUUUUAAUAAUUUUAGCAAUCAGUGUAAGUUAUAUUCAAGAAAAAUACCUUAUACUUGCAAAAAUAGACCUUUAUACUUUACAUUCAUAGAAAUUAUACCCAUUAUUAAUAAAUAAUGCAACAUAGACACAUGACAGCCUGGCAAACAUCUAUGGGCAAUGUUUACCUAAUUUUGAUGUGAGAAUCGGUUUAACUAUAAUUUGAAACCACUAACUUUUCAGCUUUUUUCCAUAGUUAAUCCAGUUCUUCCAAAGUGAUUUGAAUUGUCUGGAUUCCUUCAUCUUUUUCUCAUCCCCACCUUUUCCUAUUUAGAUUCCCUAAAGCAUCAUUUCUUUUUGGUUUGUUUUUUUUGGUUUCAAUUUUUGAUUAAAAAUUACAUGUUUGCUAUAGCAUCACUUCUUAUACCAAAUAAUAGUAAUUCUUUCAGCAUAAGAAACACUCAGGCAAACAUAAAACAACAAACCUAGAGAAAUCCUACUGAUUGCCUUUGAGUGGCAUAAGGAAAGAGGUAUGGAAAUAGAACAAUAGAGGGCAAUAAACAGACUAAAAAAUGGAGAGGGUGGUUUUACAGCGAGGGGCUUGGUGGUAAUCACAUCAUUUAAGCUGACAUUUAGAGAAUCAGAAGAAAUUGGUGAUGAGAGAAAUGAAGAGAGAGAGAGUAUCCCAGAAAGAGAAAACAACAUCUUGUGACUAAGGAGACAUCAUAACUGGUGUGAAGUGGGAGAGGGGCUUAAUGACACACAGUGAAAGUGACAGGUAUACAGACCAUUUAUCUGUUCUACGUUAUAGUCUUGUAAGUAGUGAACAGACCAUUUCUACGCCUAUUUGUUGCUAAUUACUUAUAUUAUCUUAGAUCUCAUGCUAAAUAAGAGACUGUUUGAUGUCUGCUGAACCUCCACAUUUUCUCUGUUAUUUGGUUCUUUUUAAAUCAGAUCAUGCUAAGGAUAUAUUGAUUAGAAAAAUACCUCCCUCUCCACUCUGUGCAUUACCUAGCUUGAAAUAGCAUUAGGGUAAGGCAUUUAGACAAGUCAUUCAAGAUAAAAUUAACCUAAAUAGUUGAUAUUUCUUUGCAGUGAUUUUUGGCAUUAAUUUUGAUUUUUAAAAAUAUUACUUUCAAAUAUGAUUACUUUAAUCACUGAGUUUUUGGGAGCCCUUACUAUUUUAUACUUACAAGGGUACCUUAUUUGGCUCACCCUUGUCCUGACCCUAAAACCACCUACUAUUUUAUCUCUCUUCUCUUUUUCUUAGGCAAAAUUAUUAACACGUUUACCCACAUUCAUGCAUAAAAUGACUUUCUUGCUCCCUCUUCUUGGAGCUUACCAAGAAUGCCAGCUUUAACAAGGUUUUGCUUCAAACUCAGAAGAAAUUGAGAGUGUUUAUUUACCUUAGAGAACAUUUUGAGGACAUUAGAAUAAAGUAGCAUUUGUUACAUCAUAUUGCAAGAAGUACAACAAUGCACAAAAUCAUUAAAUCAGUACAAAUGAGCCAAGGUAGUUUUGACUAUUAAAAUUCUGUGCAUAAGCAAUUCUGUUACUUUGGUAACUAAUUGGAAAAGGAGUGGAAUACUUUGUACUCAUUUCAUUGUUUUCCAAACUAGCAAUAUUGUAACUUCAUUUGUUUAUGUAUAUUUUACUUAAUCUGAUUAUGCAGAUGCCAAUCAGAAUCAGGAUCAUUAAUAUGAACUGAAAUUUUUGUAGGGAAAGAAAGAAAAUUAGGUUUUUAGUUGUGUUCAGUUUCCCAACUUUAUUUUCUUAAUGUCCUUGUUGAACAUUUAGUCUUCAUUGCUUUUGUAUAUCUAAUAUUUUAUCAAAUCAAUAAAAUUAUUUUUGCUGCUUAAGAAUCUUAAGCAUUAAGUAAAGGAAGCAAGUUGUUUAAUUUUAUUAACUGCAUUUUUUAUGUGUACCAAUAUUCAAGAUUAUUUUCCACAUGUUUACCAAAGUCUGCGAAGCAAAUUAGCAAACAUAAAAAUGUUCAAGAAUUUAGUCAUAGAAAUUUCAGAAUUUUCUGAAGUGUAAAACAUGUAUUAACAUUGAUGUGUUACCUAUAUGCAAAAUUAUCUCAUUUUCCUUUGCAGUAAAGUUUAAUUUUCUCUUACAGUAUUAUUGAAUUAUUAAAUAUCAAAUUUGUUGUUUGAUAAGAAUAUUCUUUAAAGAUAGCUUUGCCUUAUAAGGUACAUGAACUAUUAGGACUUAAUUAAACCAGGGCACUAUAAAUUAGUAAAUCAAUUUUUGAAAAGAGACAAAUUGUAAUAGUAAUAACAUAUUUUUCUUUUAAUUAUGUGAACAAAUUAUAUAUACUAGAAAAUAAGAAAAUUAUUACCUAUUUUGAACAUUAUAAUCUUAAAAUAUUAUGAAUUACUCACUCUAAAAUUUAGAUUCCAGAGACAGUUGGAAACUAAACAUGGUCCUUUGAUUUUCAUUACAUCUUUCUUAUCCUUGCUUUUUAUUUUAAACUUUGGGAGAAAUGGAUGAAAAUAUUGAUAAACAUAUCCAAUUUUUUCACCAGGUGGAGCUUCAACUAUUAGCUACAAAAGAUUGAAAAUCAUAUUGGUCCAACAUACAUGUUAGAUUUGACUGACUCCAAUCAAUGUGGCUGUAAUGAGGUGUUGAAAAUUGGGUGGAAACCUCUAGUGUUACCGAGAAACCAGAGAAUUGAGGAAACCAAAGACAUUGGAAGAUAGAGGAGAAAAUCCCCGAAAGGGAAGAGCUAAAGCUGCUUCCAGGGGUUCUGCGUGUGUUUGAGGAGCAUACUUUCAAUGUUUUUGGCAGCUGUUUACAACCUUGGCAUAAUUUCUUCUCCUAGCUCCCACAGCUUUCAAGUCAGUCAAAGGUCAGAAAAGAAGAUGAGGUUGGAGGCUUUCUUACUCUGCGAUGAUAGCAUUUGCUUCUGUGAUCUUCAGAUAGAUUCAGCAAGACUCUAUCAGAUUGGUUUCACUAAUAAUUUUCCAAAUGGCAACUCAUAUACAACUUACAAGAAAAAUACCAGGGUUUUAACCUGUACAACGAAACUGAAGAGUGCUACAAAUGAAGAAGGAAUGGAAAAUGAAUAAACCUUUAAAAAACUGGGCACUGGGAAGCUACAUUGCUUUGAACUUUGAGACACUGUGGUAUUGGGCGAUGCCACCUGACGGGAACACUGUCUGAUUGCUUGGCAGCCUUCUGUUCCUGAAAUGUUUGCCCAGUGCUGAGAGAUAGGACUGCAGACCCCAUUAGGAAAGUCAACAAUUGGAGAAGGUGCUACUCAAUGGUGGAGUCAUCUGCAAGAUGCUCCUUUCACUCUGGCCUUGACCUCCAACCCUAGAUGCCUGUGAUAUCUUAUUGAGGAGAAGCAGAAGAUGGUUGCUCUAUUUCCUGUCUGGUUUUCUUUUCUUUUCUUUCUUUCUUUUUUUUUUUUUUUUUUUUUUUGGUUUGUUUUUGGCUGUAUUAAAUGGGAGAAAUAGGAUAGAAUAUGCCGCUUUUAACUUACCUGAGUGUGAAUACUCCUGUUCACCUUUUUUCAAUUCUGCUGUUUCUUUUAUAAACAGUAUACAUUGUAUGUUGUUUAUGUUCAUUUAUGCAUGAAAGUUAUGAUCUGUGCAUCAAAAAAUGUGCUUAAAGAGAAGUAAUUUCAAUUUGGAAACAUUGUAAAUAUGUGACCCAGGUAGGUAAUUGUACUUUAUGAUCCUUACUUUGGAUAAAAAUCACAUACACAGAAGGAAAUCUAAUGAACCUUCUGGAUAAUUUAAAAUAUAUUUUAAAGUUAUUCCCUAACAAUUCUCAGAUUACCUAAGUAAUAUUUUUGAGAUAUUUCUUAGUGUAAAUAUUCAUUAAAAUGCAUGUAUGAAGAUGUCUUCUCUAUAAUUCUCAAACUAAAAAAUAACAAUGCAAUUAUAUAACAGAAAAAUGAAUUUAUGUUAAGUGUGUAAGUAUGUUAUUCAAUCUUAGUUCUACAGUAACUGAAUUUACAAAGUGAUUUUCAGUAUUUCAAAAUGAAUUCUUAAUACACUUGGACUCUUCAUAAUCACAACAUGUCAUAUUUUUCUGCUAAUGUUUUAUUCUUAUAAGUCUGCAGACAAAGUAGGAUUUUAGAUUCACCUUAUUGAAUAUGGGAGUCCUUACAAAUAUUACCAGAUUAAAAUGCACUAAAGGAAGAAGUCUGCACAUUUUUAUUAAAACAACAACAAAGUCUACUGCACAUUUUUGUAUGCAAGGUCUUGAGAGUAUGUACCUUGGGGUGAAAGGGACAGAAGAAGGGAAGAAGGGAGGAGGAGGACAGGAGGCAGAGAUGCAUAUAUUAGAUACAUACAUAUUUUAGGGUGAAUAAUGCCCCAGUUUUACAGAUAAUGGACAUUUUUCAGAGUUAACAAAUGUGGCCACAACUGGUAGAAUUACAGCAAUUAUUUAUGUCUAAAUCCAGUAUUCAUAAAUCCUAUGAGAUGUUGCUUCUAGUCUAUAAUAAUGUCAAAUUCAUUCAUUUAUAAGAUUGAUUUUAGAAUUUUAGUAUAUGAAUAUAUUUUUACAUAUUUUUUAUAUUUAUCAAUAUUCAUGACAAAUUUAAAUAAAUCAUUUUCCAUUAGCAUUC